rnacentral:lncRNA from 1 species
AAAUGAUGUCUCCUAAUAACAGCCAAUUUCAAAGUCAAAGACUAAAGUGGGUAACAAAGGUGCACAUCUCGUGGUUGUUUUGCAACUUGUCCUUAUUCUUUCAUAUCUUUGAAAAUUCUAACUUUUUUUUACCAUUUUGAUUAUAUUUAUUCUUCUAUCCCAAUAGAAUUUAAAAUUAUAAAAAUAAUCAAACAUAGUUCAAGAAUAAAAAAAUUGUAUUACCCUAUCCAAACAAAAAAUAAUAGAAAUUAAGGGAAUUCAAUUGGG